UUCUCGUACGAUCACUGAAGUUAAGCAGCGUAGAGCCAGGUCAGUACUUAGAUGGGGACCGCUUGGGAACACCUGGUACUGUAAGC
rnacentral:rRNA from 1 species